CUAGUAAUGGCAGGUCAGCAUACUGCCGUGAAUACGUUCCCGGGCCUUGUACACACCGCCCGUCACACCAUGAGAGUUGGGAAUACCCGAAGCCUGUGAGCUAACUUUAAGAGGCAGCAGUCGAAGGUAGAAUCAAUGAUUGGGGUGAAGUCGUAACAAGGUAAC
rnacentral:rRNA from 1 species